rnacentral:rRNA from 1 species
CUGCAGCCCAAGUGGUGAUCGAUAUUAUUGAGCCUAAAGCGUCCGUAGCCGGACUAGUAAACCCUUGGGUAAAUUGGGCAGCUUAACUGUCCAAAUUCCGAGGGGACUGCUAGUCUUGGGACCGGGAGAGGUCAGAGGUACUCAAGGGGUAGGGGCUAAAUCCUGUAAUCCUUUGGGGACCACCAGUGGCGAAGGCGUCUGACUAGAACGGAUCCGACGGUAAGGGACGAAACCCUGGGGCGCGAUCCGGAUUAGAGACCCGAGUAGUCC